CAUAAGAGCAGCAGAAAGACACUGUUAAGGUCCCUUGCUGCUUUUGCUCCCUUGUGUGUGCCAUGUUGUUUCUCCUCUGUGAUGCCCGACUGCCAUUCACCCUGCCUUGGAGCCAGCCAAUUAUGGACUGAAACCUCUACAAAAUGAUGGGAGAAAUUACUCAUGUUUGCAAUGUGGAAAGGAAUGAUUCAGUGGAGAGGGCAAAACUGAUGAUUCAAGAGAAAGAGAGAGGAGAUGACCACAGCCUGAAAGUUCCCAGAAGACAAGCUAAGAUUUGAGAUUCCAGGGACAUAGAAUGACUAUGCUCCAGAUGACAAGACUACAAGACUGGAGAAGGCUGCCCAAAGUGCACUGGGCUCCACAUGAAUGAGGAAAAAACCCCAUCCUGUUAUUGUCUAAGCCAUGGAGAUUUUUAGAAUUUAUUUGUUACUGCAGCAUGGCAUAGUAUAGUCCAGUCAAAACAAAUACUAAAAGUCUUAUAACAAAAACAAACAAUAGCCAGGAAUUUAGCUCAGUGAUUCCGCUGCCUGUCCCUCAAGCGCAAGGACUCAAGUUUGAUCCCCAGUACCCCAAACAAGCAAACAAUAAAAGAAGCAAUUCCUCUACUGACUUAGUUUUCUGUUGCUAUAACAAAAUACCUGAGACAGGUAUACUGGCAUACCACUGUUUUCCCAGCUGUUUGGGAAGCUGAGGCAAGAGGAUCAUUUGAGCAGCCUCCCUAGUAGCUGGGACUGCAGGUGUCUACCGCUGUGCCCGGUGGUCCUCUUUUCUUAUAAAGCCACUAAUGCCAUCAGGAGGGCUCCACCCCCAUGACUUCCUCUAUCC
ensembl:lncRNA